ensembl:lncRNA
CUGAAAUUGAUGAAAUAUUCACAGAGAUGGAAGGAUGAGGUUAGAUUCACAGUGAUGGGCAUAUGGGGGGGGGGGGCUAUCUGAACACACACACACACACCCACACACACACACACACACACACACACACACACACACACACACUCUCUCUCUCUCUCUCUCUCUCUCUCUCUCUCUCUCUCUCUCUCUCUCUCUCUCUCUCUCUCUCUCGCACACCCUUAUAUACAACAGCUAUAGGAUGGUUGUAUAGUGCACAUUCGAUUCCGGCAUUACGAGUCAACAUCAGAUAUUUCCCCGAUACAUAAAUCCUCAUGGGAAAGCGUCAGAAACAUAUGUUACAUUGCAUGUUCUAAGAUAGUUCCUUCAAAUUCUAUUCCAAUCAUAAAUGUGUUUCAUUCCAAAAAAGGCAGAUGCCAAAUAAUCCUGUUUGAUUGGCAGUAAUAAAGAUGUACACAGCAUCACCGGAUUUCCCAUUUAUUCAGCCAAAGACAAUCUUGUGGAAAUUGCUUUAAUAUUUUCCUCCGGUAUCAGGAUCACUUUAACAAGGUCAAUUGUGUCGUGAGAAAUAUCACGCCUUUUAAUUCACUCUAUUUGGAAUAAAACACUUUUAUUUUUCUUCAUCUGGAUAACCACAAAGUGAUGGCGUAAUUAUUUCUGCAUAAAAUGGAGUUCAAUAAUUUUACCUGGAAAUGAAAAACAUUACAUUUGUACUGACAUUAUGAUCAUAUACUUUGUAUAGUGCUUGUUUUUUUCAAUGUUUUUUUCUUCAUCAACCUGAUUCCAAACUAGACAAUAGCGACGUAAAGGUGUUGAUGUUUGAUUCCAGAUGUCAGCAGCCUCCUUUUCUCCGGGGGUGAACCCGCUAUCGGCCAGGAGAAAGCCCGGGUUUGUGUUUAUCGGGCCCUCGCGGUCUCCGUGGCGACCACGUGUGCGUGGCGUGUGAAUUCACCAUUAUGCCCGCGGGCCACACCCUCAUUUUAACGACCAUUGACUGGGCGGCGCGGCGGUCGAAUGGGGAGCGAGGAUGACGUUGUGUUCAACACACAGAAAAAGUAACGCUGAAGUGCUCUGAGUUCGUACCAAAACAAAGUGCUGCUCAGACAAAGAAGAUAAAACAUGAUCAGAAGAAUCCUCGUUCUCUCCCUCCUAAAUAACUUUUCCCAUAAUCGCUUAAGGAACAUGACAAAAGAGUCUGGCCGGAUGCCUUCAGAGUCUUAAUGUUAUGUUGCCAUCUAGAUACAUCUUUUUUUAAAUCUCUUCUUUUUAAACUCUAUCACUCUCAUUCAUGGUGAGAAAAAUAAACAAACAAACAAAAAAACAAUAUGGCUUUUGUACACGAACACGUCUUAGCAAUAUACAGCGAAUACUAAAAUGCUCUUGGCUCAAACAGGAGAUCUUUCUACAUACAAACGAGACGAGAGACGUUCCGCGUUCUCCUCCCAUCAGGAAUGUCUGGACUACAUUAGUCGUUAUUCGGUCUUCCAUAGUGUGCUUUAAGUAGGACUAACUGACAAACACUUCUGCUUGGUUUUUAGUAAAUUAUUGUUUUUUUCCCCACAGUACAAAAAACCCAACAACCAUGUUGUCUCUAACUCUUUUAAGGGAAAUACCGUUUAAUGCUUACCUUAGAGAUGACUUUAUAAUACUGCAAUAAUACAAAGAAGUGUUGGAAUGGUUCCUACAGUCUCAAGGUUCACCUGGAGCCUGCAGGCUCACCUGGAGACCAGAGGUCCACCUGGAGACCUGGAGGGUCACCUGGAGGCCAGAGGUUCACCUGGAGGUUCACCUGGAGCCUGGAGGUCCAGCUGGAGACCAGAGGUUCACCUGGAGGUUCACCUGGAGACCUGGAGGUUCACCUGGAGCCUAAAGGUUCACCUGGAGCCUAAAGGUUCACCUGGAGACCAGAGGUUCACCUGGAGGUUCACCUGGAGCCUGGAGGUUCACCUGGAGACCUGGAGGUUCACCUGGAGACCAGAGGUUCACCUGGAGGUCCACCUGGAGACCUGGAGGUCCACCUGGGGCCGGGGGGCUGAAGGUAUUCAUGGUUCUGUCUUUAUACACAAUAUGGCUUCAGAGUGGAAGACACACAGGAGACCAGCGGCCAGCUCCUUACUGGUUCCCAGCGAGAGGACCAGUUCCUUACUGGUUCCCAGCGAGAGGACCAGUUCCUUACUGGUUCCCAGCGAGCGGACCAGCUCCUUACUGGUUCCCAGCGAGCGGACCAGCUCCUUACUGGUUCCCAGCGAGCGGACCAGUUCCUUACUGGUUCCCAGCGAGAGGAACAGUCUUGAGGGACCAGCCAGGGGGCGGGCCCCCGCUCCGUCAGCGUCCCUGGUCGGGGCCCGGCCGCC